CCAGGUUGUUACAUAACUCUGCACCCGAGUACAGCAGCAUAACGUCAGUGUCGCACAUGAGGAUUUACAAGGAAACUAUAAUAUAAUCUUCAUAAAGCAGUACUCACAGAUGGGAACUCUUUCCCCUUUUCAGUCUUCCUUGUAAACAGAUUUUUCCUAUAAGAAACGAGGAGCUGAAAUACAUUUCUGGAACAGCGAGCACAAACCCCGUGUCACAUUUCAAGGAUCUUGUUAUCAU